rnacentral:rRNA from 1 species
UGGGUCAAAAACCACCGAUUCUUCGCUUAAUCUUUUACAAAAAACACUGAUCGGUCCAUUUGGGCAUUUUAACCGCGAUUAUGACAAGUGGGCCCCACAAGAGCUGAUAUGGCAUAACUGUUAGUCCCUGGUAUUCUUGUAGAUGCACCCUUCAAUCAGAAAACAAAAAUGCAAUUAGGCCCUUGCCAUACCCAGCUCGGCUGUACUCUGCCGCCGGCCAUCCCGCGCUCAUGCGCUGCUUCCCACGUCGGUGCCCUGAUGGCGACGGAGCUCACCGGCAAGGUUUGCUGCUUGGCUGCAUCUGUGUUGCGCGUCGCCGCUGCUGCUUGCUCGCCGCCGUUGCUGCUUGCGCCCGUGCUGCCCGUCGACGUGCUGCUGCUUCCUCCGGUGACGCGCGCCGCCACAAGUCUUCUUGAUCCGGGAUUGCGCGUCGCCACCGUUGCUCGCGCUCGUGCUAUGCGCGCCCGUGCUGCAUCCCGCCGCUGUUGCUUGCUCCGAUGCCGCCGUUGCUGCCGGGAGGUCGCGGCCGCUCCGUGCGCCGGUUGUUGCACUGCCGCCGUGCCUGAAGCGCCGUGCCUGAAGGAGGAGACGAGGACCAUUCUGUGUGGUGAUACGGAGGCCAGAGCCGCCGCUAGCCCGCCACCCCAUGCUUCCAGGAGCAGGGCGCCGGCCGACCCGUGCGCCUCGGCCGUGGCAGCGGACCUCCACCUAGACUAGGCCGUGGCCGUGGCAGGCGCGAGACCAGAGCCGCCGCUGCACAGCAAGGAGGCGGCAAGCACCUUGGCCUAGGCCACGCGGGCGGUGGCCCGUGGGAACGGCGGCGGGGCCUGAUCCCUAUUGGAUCGGGCAGCGAAGGGAGAUUUCUU